rnacentral:misc_RNA from 1 species
GAUGAAGAACGCAGCGAAAUGCGAUAAGUAGUGUGAAUUGCAGAAUUCAGUGAAUCAUCGAAUCUUUGAACGCACAUUGCGCCCGCCAGUAUUCUGGCGGGCAUGCCUGUUCGAGCGUCAUUACAACCCUCAAGCCCCCCGGCUUGGUGUUGGGGACCGGCCACCGGUGCCCUGCUGCUUCCGCGGCAGGCGCACCCGGCCGCCCCCGAAAUGAAUUGGCGGCCCCGUCGCGGCCUCCCUCUGCGUAGUAGCACACAUCUCGCAGCUGGAGCGCGGCGCGGCCACUGCCGUAAAACGCACCAACUUUUUUUACAGUUGACCUCGAAUCAGGUAGGAAUACCCGCUGAACUUAAGCAUAUCAAUAAGCGGAGGA